CCAAAUGUAAAAUUUUUGUUUAAUUAGAUAUGAAUUUGUUAGGCUCCUCAUUAUUUAAUAAUUAAUUCUAAUAAUGCAUGAAUGUUAUUAAUAACUUUGUAAGCUAAAUUUUUUUUAAGUUGUAGUUGUAUGAAGUUUAGAAUAUUUGUUACUUAUUUAUUAUAUAUAAAGGGCUAAUAUAAAACAAGUAUAAUGAAGAAAUAAAACUGAAAAAAUAGGGCUUAGAACUAGAUGUAUUCCCAUUUUUAUUCAAAAUUCUCAUUAAGCAUAAAAAUUUAAAAAUGUAAUGCCUAUUCAUGCAUACUAUAUUUUCCUCUAUCAUCCCAUCAAUGGGAUAAAAAGUAGUUCUUUAGAUGAGCAUCAUUCUCAUAUCUGAUUGAUGAAGAUGCAAAUUUUGAAAGAUCAUGGUGAUAAAUAAAUAAAUUUAUCAAAAGUCAGAAGUGUCAAUUGGGGUCGACGGGUCGGGUUUGGGUUGAACCAGAGUUGACCUGGGUCUAAACGGGUCAACCCAAACCUGACUCAUUUUUGCAAAUAGGUUAGACAUUUCAAGCCGGACUCGACUCGAGCGGGUUGCCGGGUUGACACGAUCUGACCCGCGCGGCAGAGGGCGGAGCUCGCCACAGUGUGAGUGCAGACGGAGCCCGCUGGACCGCACGACUGCGUGAGUUCGGACUUCAGACGAAGUCUGACAGUUCGCAAUACCGCGCGGUCUGUGCGUCCGAGACAGAGUCCAGGGGACCAAGGUCUGUGCAACGGCGCGACUACGUGAGUGCAAAUUGGGACCGAGCGUGCGGACAGAGUUCCUGCAUUCGCGGGAACGCGUGACAGCACGAGCGCGGUAGUGGGGAACGGAGCAAGGACGGCAGCGGGCGAUGGAGUGACUCACGAGUGCGGGCGGAAACUGGGAUGGACUUGACUUUCGGGUCAGUGUCGGGUAGAUUUAGGGUUUUCAGGUCAACCCGAACGCAACACGUUUUUUGAAACGGGUAAAAAAUUUGAACCCGAAUCUGACCCAUUUGCUAAACGGGUCUUGGUCAAAAAUUGACACCCCUAGCUAAAGUCCAACAUACCAAAUUAAUAUAGUUAAGGUGAUAGUAAACGUGAAUGCAUUAGUAACAUGAUUAGACAUGAUGAUAGCUCAAAUUUCUAGGAUAUUAUGUUUGUAUUUUUUAAUGUUUAUGGAAAUGUUAUCUGAAGUUGAGGUGGUGCUUAAUAUACUGUGCUACUCAAGAAUUUGUUAAUUACGAGGGGAUCGAUGAGGAAGAAAUUUUUUAGUAAAAUAACACAUAAAAUAAGGGCUAGGCUCAACAAUAGUCACCUCAUUAUUAACACCCACCAAAGCUAAUUCUUACACAUCAAUUGAAAAUCAAAGUAUUAAGUUUUAGCCAUUUGAAGAGGUGAGUGUAUUAUGUUAUUGAAAAUCUAUACUACUAUCAUAAAAGGGGAUUGAGUUUCGACCCACAGCAAAUCUUGACCAUCCAUUUCAUUCCAUCUUAAAUUAUCUUCACCAUCCAUUAUGUUAUAAAUAAUUAAUAAAUAAAAAAUUAAUAUUUUUAUAAUUUAAUGCUCCUAUUGAACUCUACAGUUAAAUCAACUGUGCGUGACCUUUCAUCUGGGAUAAAUCUACAACAUUUAUUUUAAAUGUUUCAUAUUCCAAUAGCUGAGAAAAUUUAUUACUUCCGGUACACAAAGCUUUCUCUAAUAUCAGAGUAUUUUCACUUGAUCCAGUAGCCCAAGGGUUGCCUCACUGCUGAGUCUUCUGCUGUCGAGCAGUUAAAACAGCAAAAUUAAACAUUACACCCUUCGAUUUAUUGCCGAUCGGUCUCCCCAAUAUUGAUUGAUUGUCAAACAUUUUCUCCAAUAUUGGAGCGUUUCAUUACCGACCAUCUGAUUUCAUGGCUCUUCAAGCUCUUCCCCAUCGGCUUCCCAUACAAAAGAGCUUUUGGAAGAGUCGCUAAAGGAGCUCCUCGCUUUCUUCUAAGAUUAUUGUUCCUGCGGAUAAAAAAUUACCACGAGAGGUCGCCACUUGCUUCGCGCCUUCACCUGAAGAAGAGUUUUGAAAGUGAUCAAUGUCCUCCAAAAGCUGUGAGAUGAUUCCAUAGCUCUGGGAAAUGGAGGCGAAUAAUGAGAAUGGGGUCAAGGAUGAUGAAGCAACCAGUUCGGCAAUAUCUGUUCUAGAAGACGAGUUUUUUUUUUUCUUUCAAUUUUAUGAUGAUUUUCUAUGAGAGAAAUAUUUGCGAUAGAGUUAGGCAAUGCUGAUCACGUCUCUAUAUUUUUUAUUUCAUUUGAUAUUUUUCCCCGCAUUUUAUUGUCUUCGAUGGUAUUCGGGAUGCAUAUUGAUUAUGGUUACAUGGCUAGCUUAAAUUCCAUAUUUUACAUGGUUUUUGGGUUU